AAAUCAAAAUUCAUGGUUGCCCCCCUGUAAAUCCACGAAAGUUCGGGAAUCCCAAUUAAUCGGUGUCUUUUAGACAUUUUUAUGUGGACGAUUCUUCGACCUUUGUAUAGUAAAUUGCGACGUCAUUUAGGCCCAAAAAAUGUAACUUAGCAUUCAUUAUACAGUACAUCGAAAACUGUAUUAUCUCAAAGGUUUCCAAUAUGAAGACUUUGUUUAUAUUAUUCGUUUUAUCUGCUGUCAUCAUGGCAGCUUUGGCUAUUAAAUAUGGUGGCUAUGGUGGAUACGGAGGUGGCUACGGUGGUUAUGGUGGAUACGGCGGUGGAUACGGUGGUUAUGGUGGAUACGGCGGUGGAUACGGAAAAGGAUUUGGAAGAGGUUUCGGUGGGUUUGGAAGAGGUUUUGGUGGUUAUGGAGGAUUCGGAAAAUUUAAAGGUUAAAUGAAUAAGAAAACGUAAGC